CGCCUGCCCUGUGACAAUGGUUUAACGGCCGCGGUAUUUUGACCGUGCAAAGGUAGCGCAAUCACUUGUCUUUUAAAUGAAGACCUGUAUGAAUGGCACGACGAGGGCUUAACUGUCUCCUUUUUCCAGUCAAUGAAAUUGAUCUUCCCGUGCAGAAGCGGGAAUAUAACCAUAAGACGAGAAGACCCUAUGGAGCUUUAGACACAAGACAGAUCUUGUUAAACACUUCAAAACAAAGAAACAAACUAAAAGAACGCUGUCCUUUUGUCUUUGGUUGGGGCGACCACGGGAAGACAAACAACCCCCACGCGGACUGAGAAAACAAUUCUCACAACCAAGAGCUACAGCUCUAAUCAACAGAAAUUCUGACCUAAAGAUCCGGCAACGCCGAUCAACGGACCGAGUUACCCUAGGGAUAACAGCGCAAUCCCCUUUUAGAGUCCAUAUCGACAAGGGGGUUUACGACCUCGAUGUUGGAUCAGGACAUCCUAAUGGUGCAGCAGCUAUUAAGGGUUCGUUUGUUCAACGAUUAAAGUCCU
rnacentral:rRNA from 1 species